AGUUUUCUCCGAGCCUUUCGAGCCUUUGCUUCAACUCGCUUCUAAAUUAAAACAAAAUUUAUAUUUUCCUUCAAAUUUUAAUCGCAAUUCAAGUCAAUUUCAAAAUGUGCGGAGGCGGUUGUGGAGGCUGUGGCCCAUGCGGAGGCUGUGGCCCAUGCGGUGGUUGUGGACCCUGCUGCGUCUGUCCCACGCGCUACUUGAAGAGAUCAGAGGAGCAUAUGCCCUGUGUGUGGUGUGCACCAUGCAAAGCUCAUUGCUACAACACCCCACCCAAGUGCUGUUGCUAGAGGCCUAAGAGCUUUGCAUCGGUACGGAGUCUCCUUUAAGGAAAAUCUUAUAGCUAAAUACCAACUCCACUACUUAUCCUAUUCUUACUGUCGAAAAAUAAGAGGAAUUAUCGUGAUGUGAGCUUCGGUUAAUAGUGAUUGUAAAACUGCGAAGAUCGUCAAUUUGGAAGCAGGUUGGACCUAAAAGGAUGGCAGAAGGCUUUUGAGCUUGAGCAUGGACUCUCGAAUAUCAGGCAUUACCAUAAGGCAUGGUAAAUACUAAGCCAAACUUCUAUCAACCGAGACUCUUGACUCGACUCAUUAAGAAGAAGGUGGCCUCUAUUCGUAUAAGCGCAUACGAAUGCGACCUGAUCGAAAACAAAGUGUCAAGCUCAUUUUAAAUUGUUAAAUUCAAAAUCUUCAAUUUUAUAAACAAUUCAGAACUAUUAUG
rnacentral:sRNA from 1 species